UAUGCACUUGAGGUAAUAUCUGGUGUAACGUCCAACAAGAACUGUGUCAACAGCAUCGCUGACUCCGAGAUCCUUGGUUUUCUACUCCUAACACUACAUACUCUAACUUCAAGUCAGCUUCUUACGGUAGACACCCUUCAUGCUCUCUGUUCCAACACGAAGAUCGUUAAGGAAGCGAUGUACAAAGUUCAAUUGCAGAUCAAACCCUGAACUCUGGGAAGUUUUAAUUAAAGUUGAAUUCUACUGCAAGUUCAAAUUUCACGAUAUUCUGAACAACCUCUAGGCUGAUCUAAGUCAG